UACAGAGGUCCCAAGCGUUGUUCGGAUUCACUGGGCGUAAAGGGUGCGUAGGUGGUGAGGUAAGUCGGAUGUGAAAUCUCCAGGCUCAACCUGGAAACUGCAUUGGAAACUACCUUGCUGGAGGAUUUGAGGGGGGAUUGGAAUACUUGGUGUAGCAGUGAAAUGCGUAGAUAUCAAGUGGAACACCAGUGGCGAAGGCGAAUCCCUGGAAAAUACCUGACACUGAGGCACGAAAGCUAGGGGAGCAAACAGG
rnacentral:rRNA from 1 species